GGUUAGUAGGUUGGUCAUGCCUCUGGUAUGUACUGAUCUCACUGAUUCCUCCCUCUUGACGAACUGUAAUGUCAUUAAUUUGGUGUUGCAGGAAAUCAGGACUGUUACUUUGAAAAAAUUAGAGUGUUUAAAGCAGGCUAAGGCUUGAAUACAUUAGCAUGGAAUAAUGAAAUAGGACGUUUGAUCCUAUUUUGUUGGUUUCUAGGAUUGACGUA
rnacentral:rRNA from 1 species